ACCGGGGUGUUUAAAAAGAAAGCUGGAUAGUCUAAAGUGGUAAAAGUUCUGUGCACUUGUGCCAUUGAUUUCUGCCCUGCCAAUAAAUUGGCUCAUUGUCCACCCAAACCUGUUAUUCCAGGCACAACCAAGCAAUCUCUGCAAGUAUUCCAAAAUAAAAAGUGACUCCCCACCUCUGGACAAUUAAUUAAACACUGACAGUGGAAAGCAGCUAUAGGACAGAAAGGAAAUCUGUACUUCAGACAUGAAAAAAAAACAGUUACAAAAUAUACAUGAAGCCACUUUCUUACCAAUAGCCAGGCAGCCCCAGCACUGAACACACUUGUCAUGUCCACAUGGCCUUGGAAAUUCCUGGCUUUUCAAGUGACCAGCUGGCCUUGCUACUCCCUUUGUCACCACUUUGUUGCACAAAUUUGGGAGAUGUGUUACCUGCCAGUCCCCAGCAAACAGGGAAAAAUUCCUUCUUUACCUGUUGAAGCAGGCCAGCUGCUGAGCUGCCAGCUCUGCUCACAGUUAUCAGCUGUGCCAUCCCAAACCCACCAGAGCUGCCCGUGUCAGUAUCAAAUGUACUCUAGGAGGGCACAAAUCACAGAGGAAGGUAACUCCAAAAGCAUGAAAAUCAGAGAUGAGCAGCACUUUUCUAGAAUAAAAGAGCCUGGGCAACUGCAGGGCAGUUCCAGAGCAGGAGAGGACCAGUUUAUCCCAGGAAGCUGACUGGCAUAUUUACAAUUCCUGUUCAUAUUUGCUGCCUGGGUCAGGCUGGUGACAAAGGAGCAGCUCUGAAUAUGCAGGAGGCUCCAGACAAAGGGCCCAUUAGCCAGACGUGGCCAUUACUAUGCAGAGAGGCAAAUUCUCCUGCCAGAGGAGCCUCGCCAAGCAACAAAACUAUUUGGCAAGUGUGCAAAACCCAUAUUCCACACAAGUGACAGACAGCAUGGCAGGGAAAGCAAAUGGGGCUAUAAACACAAAUGUGGUUCAGUAAAGGGAAGGAAAAGUGAGGGGAAAACACUGUAACACUUUCUGGAAGGGGACACCAAGGCAAAGAGACCCUUGAGGAAUAUUUCUGUAAAUGCAGGGCUGCCCGACCCUGCUCCCAGAUCACCUGAGAUGUGUCUGUAGCUUUGAGAGGUGCAGGUUAGCACAGAUUUCCUGUAUCCAUUGCAAAGAAGAUUGGCCAGAGAUAAGGGUUUGGUAUUCCCUUUAAUUUUUCUAUCACAAAAUUUUUGGUCAUUUUCUUGUUAAUGGGGUCCCGAAAUUUUAACCAGCAUAAACAAGAAUGAUUCCAGUGAGUUACAAGCUGUAACACUGCUUUUUCCUUCUCCAUUGUUCCUGCUGGGUCUGUCAGCAAGUUCAAUGUAUUUAUAGCUCAAUGUAUAUAUAAUUCUGGACAUUAUUUCCCAGGAAGAUCCAAGUAGCCCUGUGUGAAGAGGAGUUUAUGCAGAGCUCACUGCAGUGAUCCCUACUCAGUGCAAACAGUGUUGGUUUUAUCCCUGUGUAUACUACCCAACAAACUGUUCCCAUAUAUUAUGUAAAAUCAUGUAAAUGGCUGUAUAUACAUUUAGGUAGAGGCAGCUUGCUCAUAAAUCUCACUUCAGUUUAAAAUACAGAGCACUAAGUAUGAGCUAGAAAUACUGUUUUUCUUCCACUGUGGAUUUAAAGCAGGCUCCUUACAUUAUCCAUGCAGGAAAACCACUCGGAACUCGGGGAGCUUGAGGAAAGUUAAUCCAGCCACAUUUACAACAUUAUCGGCCUUAAUCUUGGGAAUUUAUCCAGGAAAUUUGUCUUGGGUAGGAAGCCCAGUAACCUCUGCAGAUGAUAGCAGUGAAAAGCUCAGGGAGGGAAAGAACACAGAAAGGCUUGGAAAUCAAGAGCUUUUGGGACUUUUUCAUAUGAUAACUUACUAAAAUUUAGUAGAGACUGAGCACACCAUGUUUGCAGGCUGCUUAGUUAGGGUUCUCCAUUUCUUGGGCUGAAAUACAACAAUUUUUAACAUCAUUCCCCAGCUCUUUUUAAUAGUGCCACCAAGUAUUGCAUCACUCCAAUCCAGAGGUGGUUGCACUGCAAAGAUGAGGGUUAAAAAAUACAUGCUAAAAUGUACUGGACAUAAACUGCAUGUAAUGGUCAAAAGCAGCAAAGCCUGCUGGAUUUCUGCCUCAGGCAGCAGAGGAAUGCACUCUCUACGUGUGCUCUUAAGCUUUUGCAGUUCUCAUUUUCAUAGAAGCAUAAAAUGGUCUGGUUGGAAGGAAUGUUAAAAAUCCUCUCAUUCCAGCCCCUGCCAUGGGCAGGGACACCUUCCACCAGCCCAGGUUUCUCCAAGCCCUGUCCAGCCUGGCCCUGAUGUCACACACAUUCCAGCCCUGCAGAUCCCUGACCUUCCCACUCCUCUCUGUGGCCUUUCCCAGUAGCAGACCCUGAAUCUCCUUGGAGGUUUUCUCCCAAAUUUGCCCUAAACCAGGACACUGCAUCCCCUUGGAACAGCCCAAUCCCUUUGGGAGCUGAAAAAAGCCUCAGAAAUGUUCAGAUUCCUCAGCUCCCCCACAUUUCAGAUCCUUCCAGCCGCCAGUUUUGUGUCUGCUGGAAGGAAAAAAGGAUCUUACUGCGAGGGAAGCUCUUGUCAGAUCGCCUCUCUCAGGUACAAAACUGCUCACAGAGCUGUAUUUUCUCUUUACCAGCAUAACCAGCACAUCAAGAGGAUUCCCCUACCUGAGAGAACGUCCCAGUGAAACUCUGAACUCACUAACAGCCUGAAAGGGCUUUGGAAAAAGCAACAGUGAGACCCUCCACUGGGAAUGGCAGGGAAAUACACGUUCAGAAACAUGGAAAUUCUCACUCUGCACAAGAUGUUUCAGAUAUUUGAUUUCCAGUGCCUUCAGAGGACUACCUGAAUAUUUAACUGGCAUCAAAUCAGCUCUCAACGGAGAGGUUGCUUGUGCCUCUGCAUUCUGAGAGAAUCUCACCACCCAUUCCAUGUUAUGGAAGGCAAAUCCAAGGCACAAAAGGCGUGAGACUGCUGGGAAUUAAUUUCCAAAAUCAGAUAAGCUGGAUUGAAAUGAGAAGAGGCCUGACCAGACAUGUUUGCACUGCCUCCAUCAUUAGGGCCUGCCACUCCACUGGAAGAAGACCAACCAUUUUCUCAAACACAAAACUCAGUAAUUCCCUUUUAAUGCCCUAUUUAUUGGGAGCUGGAGAAGGAGCCUGGUGUCCCCUGAGUGCCUCUGCCUGUGCAGGCACAGGGGCCAGGAUCGACUCCUAACCCUGCCCCAUCCCAGAGACCCUUACAGCUCCCAGGGAAAGGCACUUCCUGCAGAAGUGACAGGUGCCACAAUGGGAUUUUAACCCUGCCAGCCAGGAAUGCUGCUCCAGGAAGGUGGGCAUAACUCAUGGGUUUCCCUGCUGGACACUCCCUGAGUGUGCUGUGGCUGAUUUACUCCAAAUCCAGUUCUCCGUGCCCUAAAAGCCACUGGGACAACUGGUCUGAGCAUAAAAGGUUCAGUGGUUUCCUGCUGCAGCCACCCUCUUGCUCUUUCCAACCAUUUUUGGGAGUAGUUUUGCAACAUCUCUCAAUAAAGCUU